UGGCUCAGAUUGAACGCUGGCGGCAGGCCUAACACAUGCAAGUCGAACGGUAACAGGAAGCAGCUUGCUGCUUCGCUGACGAGUGGCGGACGGGUGAGUAAUGUCUGGGAAACUGCCUGAUGGAGGGGGAUAACUACUGGAAACGGUAGCUAAUACCGCAUAACGUCGCAAGACCAAAGAGGGGGACCUUCGGGCCUCUUGCCAUCGGAUGUGCCCAGAUGGGAUUAGCUAGUAGGUGGGGUAACGGCUCACCUAGGCGACGAUCCCUAGCUGGUCUGAGAGGAUGACCAGCCACACUGGAACUGAGACACGGUCCAGACUCCUACGGGAGGCAGCAGUGGGGAAUAUUGCACAAUGGGCGCAAGCCUGAUGCAGCCAUGCCGCGUGUAUGAAGAAGGCCUUCGGGUUGUAAAG
rnacentral:rRNA from 1 species